AGCUCAGUAGAGCUAACUCUUAAUCAAUAGGUCCAAGGUUCGAAUCCUUGACGGCCCACCA
rnacentral:tRNA from 1 species